rnacentral:rRNA from 1 species
GACGAACGCUGGCGGCGUGCUUAACACAUGCAAGUCGAACGGAAAGGCCCUGCUUUUGUGGGGUGCUCGAGUGGCGAACGGGUGAGUAACACGUGAGUAACCUGCCCUUGACUUUGGGAUAACUUCAGGAAACUGGGGCUAAUACCGGAUAGGAGCUCCUGCUGCAUGGUGGGGGUUGGAAAGUUUCGGCGGUUGGGGAUGGACUCGCGGCUUAUCAGCUUGUUGGUGGGGUAGUGGCUUACCAAGGCUUUGACGGGUAGCCGGCCUGAGAGGGUGACCGGCCACAUUGGGCCUGAGAGACGGCCCAGACUCCUACGGGAGGCAGAAGUGGGGAAUAUUGCACAAUGGGCGGACGCCUGAUGCAGCAACGCCGCGUGCGGGAUGCCGGCCUUCGGGUUGUAAACCGCUUUCGCCUGAGACGAAGCGUGAGUGACGGUAAUGGGUAAAGAAGCACCGGCUAACUACGUG